CCUUUUGUAUAAUGGGUCAGCGACUUAUAUUCUGUAGCAAGGUUAACCGAAUAGGGGAGCCGAAGGGAAACCGAGUCUUAACUGGGCGUUAAGUUGCAGGGUAUAGACCCGAAACCCGGUGAUCUAGCCAUGGGCAGGUUGAAGGUUGGGUAACACUAACUGGAGGACCGAACCGACUAAUGUUGAAAAAUUAGCGGAUGACUUGUGGCUGGGGGUGAAAGGCCAAUCAAACCGGGAGAUAGCUGGUUCUCCCCGAAAGCUAUUUAGGUAGCGCCUCGUGAAUUCAUCUCCGGGGGUAGAGCACUGUUUCGGCAAGGGGGUCAUCCCGACUUACCAACCCGAUGCAAACUGCGAAUACCGGAGAAUGUUAUCACGGGAGACACACGGCGGGUGCUAACGUCCGUCGUGAAGAGGGAAACAACCCAGACCGCCAGCUAAGGUCCCAAAGUCAUGGUUAAGUGGGAAACGAUGUGGGAAGGCCCAGACAGCCAGGAUGUUGGCUUAGAAGCAGCCAUCAUUUAAAGAAAGCGUAAUAGCUCACUGGUCGAGUCGGCCUGCGCGGAAGAUGUAACGGGGCUAAACCAUGCACCGAAGCUGCGGCAGCGACACUAUGUGUUGUUGGGUAGGGGAGCGUUCUGUAAGCCUGUGAAGGUGUGCUGUGAGGCAUGCUGGAGGUAUC
rnacentral:rRNA from 1 species